rnacentral:rRNA from 1 species
AUUGAACGCUGGCGGCAGGCCUAACACAUGCAAGUCGAACGGUAACAGGAAGCAGCUUGCUGCUUCGCUGACGAGUGGCGGACGGGUGAGUAAUGUCUGGGAAGCUGCCUGAUGGAGGGGGAUAACUACUGGAAACGGUAGCUAAUACCGCAUAAUGUCGCAAGACCAAAGAGGGGGACCUUCGGGCCUCUUGCCAUCGGAUGUGCCCAGAUGGGAUUAGCUUGUUGGUGGGGUAACGGCUCACCAAGGCGACGAUCCCUAGCUGGUCUGAGAGGAUGACCAGCCACACUGGGACUGAGACACGGUCCAGACUCCUACGGGAGGCAGCAGUGGGGAAUAUUGCACAAUGGGCGCAAGCCUGAUGCAGCCAUGCCGCGUGUAUGAAGAAGGCCUUCGGGUUGUAAAGUACUUUCAGCGGGGAGGAAGGGAGUAAAGUUAAUACCUUUGCUCAUCGACGUUACCCGCAGAAGAAGCACCGGCUAACUCCGUG